rnacentral:rRNA from 1 species
UACCAGCACCCCGAGUGGUCGGGACGAUUAUUGGGCCUAAAGCAUCCGUAGCCGGUUCUACAAGUCUUCCGUUAAAUCCACCUGCUUAGCAGAUGGGCUGCGGAGGAUACUAUAGAGCUAGGAGGCGGGAGAGGCAAGCGGUACUUAGUGGGUAGGGGUAAAAUCCGUUGAUCCAUUGAAGACCACCAGUGGCGAAGGCGGCUUGCCAGAACGCACUCGACGGUGAGGGAUGAAAGCUGGGGGAGCAAACCGG